rfam:Picea glauca, whole genome shotgun sequence.
GGGUGCAAUCAUACCAGUUUUAAUGUACCAUAUCCCAUCAAAACUCCCCAUUUAAGCGUGCUUGAGCUAGAGUAGUACUGGGAUGGGUGACCUCCUGGGAAGUCCAAGUGUUUCACCCU